rnacentral:rRNA from 1 species
UACGUAGGGUGCGAGCGUUGUCCGGAAUUAUUGGGCGUAAAGAGCUUGUAGGCGGUUUGUCGCGUCUGCUGUGAAAAUCCGGGGCUCAACCCCGGACUUGCAGUGGGUACGGGCAGACUAGAGUGUGGUAGGGGAGACUGGAAUUCCUGGUGUAGCGGUGAAAUGCGCAGAUAUCAGGAGGAACACCGGUGGCGAAGGCGGGUCUCUGGGCAGUAACUGACGCUGAGGAGCGAAAGCGUGGGGAGCGAACCGG